rnacentral:tRNA from 1 species
UCUCUUGUGGCUCAGCUGGUAAAGAAUCUGCUUGCAAUGUGGAAGACCUAGGUUUGAUCCCUGGCUUGGGAA